ACACCAAACGAAUUCAUUUCUUUGACAGGUAAUAGACAUAAGAAGCACAGAAGGAAGGAGCGGAAGAAGGCUGUAUUUCUGCCACAGUAAAGGCUUGUCAUUGUCCAUGUGGUGUUCUUGGAGGGAAGCAGAAUCAUGAUAUGGUCACCAUCAGACUGCCCAGAAAAAAGGCCAGGAUUGUUCACAGGCACCAAGACACAAGGUUUGAUGAAACAUAGCAAACUAAAAUUGCAAGCACAAAGUUUCAGAAUCAAAGAUUCAAAAGCCUGCUCAGACAAAAUGCCACCUCUCCUUCUUAGCUGACUACAGGAGCUUCCCAAA
rnacentral:lncRNA from 12 species